rnacentral:RNase_P_RNA from 2 species
ACAGUCCCAAGGCCGCGUUGCUCGUCCCCCACAGGGAUUUUACAUCUCUCUACUUGCGAGCGGGCUAAGGUCUGAGAAUUACACGUCUCCCUUUGCUUUUCCUAGCUGGAUAAGACGAUAACCUCAGUCUGGCGACAUAUCAGAAACACAUCCAGUUGUUUCAGCUCUCAGAGCUCCUGGCGAUCUCUUAUACGGAGUGAAGGAACGAAACUACUUGGAUCUGGAACAUGUCGUGGAGACCGGAUGGCUUUGAUAUUCUGUUGCGAAACUUUUCUGCAAGUGGCAUCUAUCGCGGUCGUAACGAAAGUGGCAGGGAAACCCCCUUGCUCGAGGGACCGUCCACAUGGAUAACAUCCAUGGCCACUUUGAACGGGUUGCAAGAGUAUGACCGGGACGAAUUGAGUGACUGUCCCCCCUCUCUCUCCAGAACCUCUGCCAUCCUCCAUACUCACACCGCCACCUCAACUCCGAGCAGGCGUCGGCUACGGCCCACGGCCCCUCGAGACGUUUUGCUGGGGUGCUUGAUAUGCGCAGCUGCGCCAUGUUUCCUCUCCCGCAUAGGGCUGGUAUUAUCCUCUCAUUCCCUCGACCCACUUAGUGUGUGUCUUGGCGAGCAUGGAAUUACCGACGGUGUCUACUUUAGGAUGGGACUCGUCAAACGAUGCCUCCCAUCUGUGAUUCGUUUGUCGAACGCACGAGGAUUCGUCCUGUGGAAGCGUCUCGCAGCCAUAUCAGCCAUUCUUGAGUGCACUUCGCGGCUCAUGUCAUUCUUCAAAAGAAGUUGCAUGAAACUCGAUUCAGACUACUCUAGGACUGU